AAGCGGCAACAGCUCAAAUUUGAAAUCUGGCGCAAGCCCGAGUUGUAAUUUGUAGAGGAUGCUUCUGGGCAGCGGCCGUUCUAAGUUCCUUGGAACAGGACGUCAUAGAGGGUGAGAAUCCCGUAUGUGACCGGCGCGCACCCUCCACGUAGCUCCUUCGACGAGUCGAGUUGUUUGGGAAUGCAGCUCUAAAUGGGAGGUAAAUUUCUUCUAAAGCUAAAUACCGGCCAGAGACCGAUAGCGCACAAGUAGAGUGAUCGAAAGAUGAAAAGCACUUUGGAAAGAGAGUUAAAAAGCACGUGAAAUUGUUGAAAGGGAAGCGCUUGCAACCAGACUUCGCGGCGGUGUUCCGCCGGUCUUUUGACCGGUCUACUCGCCGCCGCGAGGCCAACAUCGUCUGGGGCCGCCGGAUAAGACCAUGGGAAUGUGGCUCCCUCGGGAGUGUUAUAGCCCACGGUGAUGCGGCGUGUCCCGGGCGAGGUCCGCGCUUCGGCAAGGAUGUUGGCGUAAUGGUUGCCAGCGGCCCGUCUUGAAACACGGACCAAGGAGUCUAACAUCUAUGCGAGUGUUCGGGUGUCAAACCCCUACGCGUAAUGAAAGUGAACGGAGGUGGGAGCUUCGGCGCACCAUCGACCGAUCCUGAUGUCCUCGGAUGGAUUUGAGUAAGAGCAUAGCUGUUGGGACCCGAAAGAUGGUGAACUAUGCCUGAAUAGGGUGAAGCCAGAGGAAACUCUGGUGGA
rnacentral:rRNA from 1 species